AUAGAGAUGAAGAGAAACAUGUAAACUCACUAGUUUUAGGGCGCCUCUCCAUUGGC
rnacentral:misc_RNA from 1 species